AGUGAACGCUGGCGGUAGGCCUAACACAUGCAAGUCGAACGGCAGCACAGUAAGAGCUUGCUCUUACGGGUGGCGAGUGGCGGACGGGUGAGGAAUACAUCGGAAUCUACUUUUUCGUGGGGGAUAACGUAGGGAAACUUACGCUAAUACCGCAUACGACCUACGGGUGAAAGCAGGGGAUCUUCGGACUUUGCGCGAUUGAAUGAGCCGAUGUCGGAUUAGCUAGUUGGCGGGGUAAAGGCCCACCAAGGCGACGAUCCGUACCUGGUCUGAGAGGAUGAUCAGCCACACUGGAACUGAGACACGGCCCGGACUCCUACGGGGGGAGGCGGAGGGGAAUAUUGGACAAGGGGGGAAAGCCUGAUCCAGACAUACCGCGUGGGUGAAGAAGGCCUUCGGGUUGUAAAGCCCUUUUGUUGGGAAAGAAGAGCAGCAGGUUAAUACCCCGCUGUUCUGACGGUACCCAAAGAAUAAGCACCGGCUAACUUCGUG
rnacentral:rRNA from 1 species